rnacentral:RNase_MRP_RNA from 12 species
UCUGAUUGACCGAGGGCAGCAGAAAUUUAUUUUUGCAAGUCACCUUGGGGAAAUUCCCCGGACGCAAGGGCAGAGAGUGCCGACCGGUGUUCCUUUCGCCGGUUUCCGGCGCGGUAA